rnacentral:lncRNA from 1 species
GGAAAUCGAGCGCAUGGUUCGUGAGGCAGAGGAAUUUGCCGAGGAGGACAAGAAGGUGAAGGAGAGGAUUGAUGCUCGUAACAGUUUGGAGACCUAUGUAUAUAACAUGAAAAACCAGAUUAACGACAAAGAUAAGCUUGCUGACAAGCUCGAGUCUGAUGAGAAGGAGAAAAUAGAAACUGCUACCAAGGACGCCCUUGAAUGGCUGGACGACAACCAGAAUGCCGAGAAAGAGGACUAUGAAGAGAAGCUCAAGGAGGUGGAAGCUGUUUGCAACCCAAUCAUCACUGCCGUGUACCAGAGAUCUGCUGGAGCCCCAGGUGGUGGAUCAGCAGAAGAUUCCGAGGACGACUCUCAAGAUGAAC